UCUAUGGAGGUAUCUAUGCUACUCGUCUUGCUAGACACUUUGAGAUACCUAUUAGACUGGAGGAGGAAGAAGAGAUUUUUCUUCCCGAGAGAUAUCUAGAUUACGAUAGCAUGGUUCGCCAUGACUUUCUUGAUAGAGAUAUAAAUAGAAGGAUGAUUUAUAACCUGGUAUUUAGUGAGGGUACUUGUGAGACUAUUACUUUGCCUGCUCCUUGUUUGUUCAAUCUUCAUGCAGGAAGGUACAUUAUUAUGCCCUCGGACAUCUACGCAUA
rnacentral:lncRNA from 1 species